GAUGAACGCUAGCGGCAGGCCUAACACAUGCAAGUCGAGUGGUAACUAGAGUGAUAGCAAUAUUACUUUGGCUAGACCGGCGCACGGGUGCGUAACACGUAUGCAACCUACCUUAUACUGGGGAAUAACUUCGAGAAAUCGGCGCUAAUACCCCAUAACAUUGCGAAGAGGCAUCUCUUUGCAAUUAAAGCUCCGGCGGUAUAAGAUGGGCAUGCGUCCAAUUAGCUAGUUGGUGAGGUAACGGCUCACCAAGGCUACGAUUGGUAGGGGUUCUGAGAGGAUGAUCCCCCACACUGGUACUGAGAAACGGACCAGACUCCUACGGGAGGCAGCAGUGAGGAAUAUUGCGCAAUGGACGAAAGUCUGACGCAGCCAUGCCGCGUGCAGGAUGACGGCCCUAUGGGUUGUAAACUGCUUUUGUACGGGAAUAAACCCUUCUACGUGUAGGAGGCUGAAGGUUCCGUAAGAAUAAGCACCGGCUAACUCCGUGCCAGCCGCCGCGGUAACAC
rnacentral:rRNA from 1 species